rnacentral:lncRNA from 12 species
UAGAAGUCAUCCUAAGAUGAACUAUUUUUGCUGCCAAUCCCUAAUUAGGUUUCCAGAUGCAGCCAUAAACCUGGAUGUGAUGCUCUAGGUAUGCUAUACAGCAAAGUUUAUAUUUAUUUUACUUAAUUCAUGGUUACUACUAGUUACUAAAGGUCUAAUAUGUUCUGAGAAACUCUACUAGGUUCUGUAAGAGAUUCUGGAGGGACCAUUAAGACACUAUCCUUGUAAAGAUAAGACAUAAACACUGGACUCCUGCAGGGCUGAGUGUGAUGUGUCAAUUGAGGGGCAACACAUAGACCAAAACAACUCUAGGGAUUCAGAGAAAGUAGUGCUUUAUUCUGGCUGGAUUUUGAGAAAGCUGCUUGGAUCAGGCUAAGAAUGGUGGGUGGGUUGGAUUUUAUUAAGCCAAAUAGAUCAAGACAGAGAUAGAACUGAUCCAAGGUAAAAUAACUGCUUCCCUCCACCUCCCCACCUUGUUUUCUUCUAUCUCAGUUCCUCCAGUACAGGCUGAGGAACCUAAGCACCUUUCUGAUAUAAAGACUGAGCCAGAGCCUAGUCAAACUGUCAUGUAGUCAUGGGCAUUUCCAUUAGGAAUGCAUUUCAUUUGAGAUAUGAGCAUGUCAUCUCACAGGGGUUUAUUUUUUUUAAAGGUUUUAUUUAUUUAUUCAUGAGAGACAAAGAGAGGCAGAGACACAGGCAGAGGGAGAAGAAGCAGGCUCCAUGCAGGGAGCCCGACGUGGGACUCGAUCCCGGGUCUCCAGGAUCACGCCCUGGACUGAAGGCGGCACUGAGCCACCGGGGCUGCCCUGCUUUUGGUUUUUGGGUCCAGCCUCAUUUUUAUUGUUGUUUGGCCAAGGAAUGCAAGGUCCGAUAUUUUAAUGAAAUCAACUGGCAACCCUGGGAAAACUCUGCUUUGUUUCAUUUUUUCCACUUUCCAGACAUCAUCACUCUAGAGUGCUUCUUUCCACUCAAGCUGGAAGAUACAAUUGCAGCAAAAUGGUGA